AGUGCUUAGUUGUCGGGGUAACAGUUCACAUCCCUUUUGUACGGGAUCCUGCUCCUGUACACGUGAUUCAUUUUCCCUCUACCAGGAAACAGAAAAUGCAGAUUUCCAGAGCUUCUUGGAUCCUGUUGACCUUUUUUCUUCACCUGCGAUUGCUAUCAGCUGAUUAUUUGGCGGCUCUGUCGGCAACCCUGCGCACAUAUCAAGCGGCGGCGUGUGACGACCAGCCAGUGAGCAUGCGGUGUCCGAGUGGCACCAGCAUUUCGGUGCAGGUCGCCCAGUACGGCAACAAGGACAAGCCACUCGCCAGCCUCUGCCAGCACCAUCAAAACAGCAACAACUACAACACCACGUCUUGCUCUUGGCCCAGCAUAUUGCAGUACUCUCUGUUGCAGACUGUGGUGGAGGCCUGCCAAAAGAAGAGGAACUGCCGCCUGCAGCCGGCGCCCAACACCACCUGCCCCGGCACGCAUCACUACGUCGAGCUCGCCUACAAGUGUCGACCUUUCGAGUUUCGAAGCAAGAUAGUCUGUGAGAAUGAAGUUCUGCAACUACAGUGCAGUCCCAACUUGAGACUCGCUGUAUAUGCAGCUACUUAUGGGAGAACGCAGUACGAGAGUAUUCUCUGUCCUCAGCCGCAGGGAGUCAAGGAAGAAUCUUGCUCCAGUUCCUAUUCUACAGAUAUUGUAAUGAAAUUUUGUCACGGAAAACGGCGCUGUACGCUUUCGGCUGACUCUGCAACAUUUGGAACGCCUUGCCAAAAGGAAUCAAGGACUUACCUCAAAGUGUCUUACGCCUGUGUGCCACGUAAAAUUUUGAAAGACGACUACGAAGACAGACCAGAAGAGGAUGAGAUGAUGUUCGAGAUCGAUGAGGAUGUAAACGACGACUAUGAUCCGGCCGACGAGAUCUUUCUCCCCGGAAUCCCGAAUGCGUCGUCGAACUUCACGACGAGUGAGCCGCCUUCUCGCGGGGGUGGAGGCGGUGGCAGUGGCGCUGGAGGGGGUGGCAGCUCAAGUGCUCGUCCGCCUUCCAAUCACCCAACCGAGGCCAAGUACAAAGAAAAUCUUCCAAUUUUAUACUUGUGCAUGGGCAUCAGUGCUGGAGGCGCUAUACUAACAGCACUUCUAGCCAUUGUUGGGAAGUUCAUCUGCAUUUAUCAAAGAGAGAAAAAGAAAAAAGCUCCACCAAAGAUGAACAUAGCUCUGAACGGUUAUGCUGAUGUCAGCAAUAUAUCAGGCAGUCUACAGCCAGACUUGUUUCUUGGAGAGGUCGUUCAUUUCAUGAGGGACGGAUCCUCUCCACAGCCUUUCAGGAAAGUGGAAAGACGAGACUAUUACUAUGGAUGACCGGAGCCCCAGCCAGAUCCACCCUCAAAGUCAUUUUUCAGGGCUCGACAGACGAUGAUAAUACAAGCUCAAGAACUUAUUGCUUUUAGGGAGCGAUUGAUUUAAAAUAAAAUAGAAAAUCGAUUGAUAGUUCGCUCAAUUCUGAUAAAGAUAAAUCUAUUAUGUACAGUAAUUAAUAGACGAAUUUUCAUAUUCUCUUGAUAUGCAUUUAUCAAGACAUAACAUAAUAAUAAUUAUAUAGGCUACGUAUUGAAUGGAAAAGACUAAGAAAUUGUCAAAAACCACAGAUUUAUUGAUACUUAGAAACUAAGAUACUAGAUACUUUGUUUUUGACAAUUGCUUAGUCUUUUUCAUUCAAUAUGAAUAAUUACCACAAUAUCAACUCCUCAACUACACAAAAAGGGAAAUUAUAAUAUAUAGGUAAGUCUUUACUGGCAAUGAUGUAAGAAGAAAAAAAUUUAUUCUUCUAAUCAAAUACAUGUUGACUGAGUUAUCAAACUGGCAAGAAGAAUUUCUUUUCAUUCCCAUAUUGAUUCUCAUGAGGAUACGAAAGACUGUCCACCACCGGUACCGGUAUCUGUCUUUGAUUGAUAUUAAUGCAACAAUUGAAUAGGUACUUGAUAAAGAAUUGAUUCUUCUACAGUAUUAAUGACUCUGAUCAUGAAUAUUAAAAGCUGUGUUUCAUUAAUCAUUCUUUCUCACCAUGUCCUCACUAUAAUAGUGAGUGACUUCAUUGUUUCUCUUUUUCAAUUUUAUGUUUGAUAACAAUUUUGAGACUCUACUUACCCCAUUCCUAAUUGAUUGAGUGAAAUAAAUUAGGUUCUAAAUUCUGAAAUAUUGCAAAAAAGCUGAAAAAUUGUUUUGAAAAUUCUGAUUUGAUGUAAAUAUGUUAAACUUUUAAUGUGAAAAUUUAUAUGUUACUGUAUGCAUAUAGUAUUGAAUAUUAAAUAAAAAUAUUAAGAAAUUGUCAAAAACCACAGAUUUAUUGAUACUUAGAUCGAUUGAUCAGUUUAUCAAAGAUUGACAAUGGUGUAACAACCGAAACCGGUCUUUCUAAGUAUCAAUAAAUCUGUGGUUUCUGACAAUUUCUUAGUAUUUUCAUUAAAUAUGGAUGAUUACCACAAUAUCAACUUCUCAACUACACAAAAAGUGUAUGCAUAGUAUAUUAUAAUAUCAUUCCUUCAAUAUUAAUUUGUCUCUUAUCUUCUUCUGAGUAAUUGCAAUUUCAAAUCACUUCGAAGCUAUCAUGUUCUUCUUAUUUUUCAACGUUUUAGCCUCAUAGUCAAAAGGUACAUUCUUGGAGACAAGGAAGACUAUUUUCUAAGGCAUUCAAAACUGGAGAUCCAGAUGUAACCUUCUCAAUUGAGAGAAGGAAUGAUGUUAACGUACUAUCAAUUUUUUUUGUAACAUAAUCCAUUUUUGACUGAGCUAUCAUGACUUUGACUUCUACAUUGAAUCUCUAUACAUUGGAAUUAAUAAUUCCAUUACCUGAAAAUUAGUACGUAGUAGACUAUAGUUCUUAUAUUCUUGAGUGAUAGUAAUAUAAUAAACUGUCUUGUAAUCCGUGAUAAUUGAAAAAAAUGAUCAAAUCAAUGUGUAAUUGUGUAUAUAUAGAUACCUAUCAAAGUAUUUAGUAUGUUAGCAUAAAGAUCUAUUCAUAGUGUCACCUUGAAGCAAUUAUGAACUUUUAUAUCAAAUAUAUUGUACAUAAAUCAAUGUAAAGAAAUUAAUUCGAACUUUUUUAUGAAAUACGGUAGUAGAAAAUAUUGUUCAAUAAAUAAUUAUUAUACUUUGUGGAACAACUCAUUUCUUCAUUAUAGGCUAUAACUCCAAUUUUAUAUAUUCAGAAAUCAGAAUUCUUUCAAAAUCUUCUCUACUCGCUGACAUCACCAAAAUAAUUCAAGAUUUUUGUCUUUUUCAUUUUUCCUAAUUUUGAUUCCAAUGUAGGCUACUAUAUAUUGAUUUCAGCUCAAUAACUCUUUUUAUUAUAAACUAUUCAAUAAAAACUCUUUUUUCUAAUAUACUCUCAUUCUUAUAGUAAAAGUAGUAACAAUGAGGAUCUAUUACCCCUUUGGAGCGAAGGUGCUCCAUGUAAAACCACAUGAAUUCUAGCAGGUAUUAUAAAAAAUCAAUAUAGUUGCGGUCCACUUGAUCAUGAACAUUGAACUGGGGUUCAAAGUAAGUUGUAUUUUUUGGAGGACAAAAUGAAAGGAUAAAUAGCAGAGCUGUGCAGUUUCUGAUGACAUGAAUAUUGUCUUUUUAAAAAUAAAUGUAAAUUGAUUCAGUCUAUUAGUAGGUAAUGAUAAUGAUAAUAAUUUUCUUGAUUGCCAAUGUAUGAUGGUGAAUACUGUUUGAUAUGAAGGUUUCAUCUUUCAAAUUGAAAUAAAUGUCUCCUGCCUGCCUUAUAAAUUGUAUUGUAGCACAGAAAAGAUCGAAGUAAGGUUAAAUCUAAAAUUUUGCAGACAAUUUUGGUCACAGGCAACUACCGUGUGUAGGCUACUCACAAUAAUGAUUCACUUUCAUUAUUAUUUUGAUUCUAUAAUAAAUUAUUGUAAUCAGUUGAUCUUAAAAUUGAUAGAAUUCUUCAAUAUAGAUUGAUCAAAUUUUCCACAAUUUUAAUAAUAUAAUCUCUGACAUUCUGAAGUUUUAUUUCAUAUAGAGGUAGCAUAUAUGAGGUUCAUCAAUAAUUUAUUAAUGAAAUAACUUUUCUAAUCAAGUGAGUGUAUGGACCGUCUACAUAGGCCUAACACCUGGAGUUUACAAGAGUGAAACAUCAUAUGAGAUUCUCUCUAGAUACUAUUAUUGGACUUCUAUAAUAAAAAUUACACUAUGAACAGAGAAAUUGUAGAAUUUCUCCAUAUAUUUAGGUGAAAUGAAAACGAUUUAUCGACAAUCGUUUUUAUUCCAUUUUAUUAUUGUAAUCGAACCAUUACAAUCGUUUUUAUUAUUGUAUUGAUAAAAUACCGGGACAUGUACAGAUUGAUUUAUUUUUUUACAGUUUCAAUAAUAAGUUUUUAACGUUUUAUGUUGAAUAGAGGUAGCCUCUUCAUGAGAUUCAUAAGGUAGUGAGAUAUUAUUAAUUUUGUGGAAUAGGUUCCCUAACAAGAAUGUAACAUAUAGGCUUUAUGGACUACGGUAUCUACAUGGGCCUACGCCUAACACCUGGAGUUCACAAGAGUGAGAAACUCAUAAUAUGAAAUUCACUUUCAUAGAUUGAAUGAGGAGGUUGAUAGUAUAUUAUCUAUUAUUAUGAUGCUAUUACAAUUACUACUGUGAUAACUAUCGCUAUAGUGUUGUCACUUGCAUGAAGCUAGUGUGGAACAGGGGUGAUUUAGCCUGAGGGCAGAAGUCAACAUCCUAUAACAUGGACAAGUAAAAGCUAACAGUCCUCAAAUAGCGUGUGACUAGCUAGCCGAAGAGACAAACGAUCAGAGCCGAGGUAAGAUUUUUGUUUGUGAUUUAGAUCUAUUGUGGAUAGUGGAAGUGAAAGUGUUUUGCAGCUAUAAAUUGGAGCAAACAGGGCGGAGCUGUAGUGGUGCGUGUGCUAAUGAUGGCGUCCAGUGGUGCUACCCUGUUGGCUGCGGCUCUCGUGGCGCUGCUUGCCGUGCAGCUGACGACUGCACAGCAGAACAUCAACGAGGCAGACAUUGCACGCAUGCUCAACGACGCGGGUCUCGUGCAGCGUCAGAUCAGCUGUAUCCUCGGGGAGGGGCCAUGCGACAACAUCGGCAACAUGCUCAAAUUGGCUAUUCCUGAAGUAUUGAAACGGAACUGCAGAUCUUGUAAUGCCCAGCAGGCCGCUAAUGCGAGGAGACUGAUCAGCUUUGUCCAAACCAAUUACCCGUCACAAUGGCAAAAGAUACAGAGUCGCUAUUUGGGUUGAGAUAUUUCCAAUGACCUGUGAAUAAACCUUUUUUAUUUUAUAACA